GGAUGAACGCUAGCGGGAGGCUUAACACAUGCAAGUCGAGGGGCAUCACGAGGUAGCAAUACUUUGGUGGCGACCGGCGCACGGGUGAGUAACACGUAUGCAACCUUCCCUGUACAGGGGGAUAACCCGGAGAAAUUCGGACUAAUACCCCAUGAUGAUAUUUAUGGGCAUCCAUUGAUAUUUAAAGCUCUGGCGGUACAGGAUGGGCAUGCGCGACAUUAGCUAGUUGGUAAGGUAACGGCUUACCAAGGCUACGAUGUUUAGGGGACCUGAGAGGGUUGUCCCCCACACUGGUACUGAGACACGGACCAGACUCCUACGGGAGGCAGCAGUGAGGAAUAUUGGUCAAUGGGCGCAAGCCUGAACCAGCCAUCCCGCGUGAAGGAAGAAUGCGCUACGCGUUGUAAACUUCUUUUCCAGGGGGAGAAUAAUCCUGUCGUGACAGGACUUGACGGUACUCUGGGAAUAAGCAUCGGCUAACUCCGUGCCAGCAGCCGCGGUAAUACGGAGGAUGCGAGCGUUAUCCGGAUUUAUUGGGUUUAAAGGGUGCGUAGGCGGAUUGAUAAGUCAGUGGUGAAAUUCUACAGCUUAACUGUAGACUUGCCGUUGAUACUGUUAGUCUUGAGUGUGGUCAAGGCAGGCGGAAUGUGUAAUGUAGCGGUGAAAUGCUUAGAUAUUACACAGAACACCGAUUGCGAAGGCAGCUUGCUGGGUCAUUACUGACGCUGAUGCACGAAAGCGUGGGGAUCAAACAGGAUUAGAUACCCUGGUAGUCCGCACAGUAAACUAUGGAUACUCUCUGCCGGCGAUAUAUUGUCGGUGGCCAAGCGAAAGCGUUAAGUAUCCCACCUGGGGAGUACGUUCGCAGGAAUGAAACUCAAAGGAAUUGACGGGGGCCCGCACAAGCGGAGGAACAUGUGGUUUAAUUCGAUGAUACGCGAGGAACCUUACCCGGGUUUGAAUUGCUGAUGUCGGUAUUUGGAGACAGAUACUUCCCUUCGGGGCGUCAGUGAAGGUGCUGCAUGGUUGUCGUCAGCUCGUGCCGUGAGGUGUCGGCUUAAGUGCCAUAACGAGCGCAACCCUUGCCGUUAGUUGCCAUCGGGUCAUGCCGGGCACUCUAUUGGGACUGCCAUCGUAAGAUGUGAGGAAGGUGGGGAUGACGUCAAAUCAGCACGGCCCUUAUGUCCGGGGCGACACACGUGUUACAAUGGGGGGUACAGUGGGAAGCUACCUGGCGACAGGUUGCGGAUCCCCAAAUCCUUUCUCAGUUCGGAUCGGAGUCUGUAACUCGACUCCGUGAAGUUGGAUUCGCUAGUAAUCGCGCAUCAGCCAUGGCGCGGUGAAUACGUUCCCGGGCCU
rnacentral:rRNA from 1 species